AGGAUUUUUGUAUGUUUGUUUUGGUUUGUUUUGGGAUGCACAAAUAAUCCCAUUUUAUCCAGUGGGAGCUCCUUCAAGUUGGCACCUGAGUCCUUUUGACAUGCCCCUCGUGGUGUUUGGUCACUUUCUCGCUUUCUGGUUCAGGAUGUUCUGGGCUCAUCUUGUGUAUUUGUUGCCCCAGACCUGGAAACAGGCAAUUCUCCAAGAAGCCUUGGUUCCCUUCAGUGAGAAAAGAUACUUAGAGACCACAGUUUGGGCACUAUACGUGCUCAACCAGAGACAGCUUCUUUUCUUUUUGUUUCUCAAUCUUCUCGAAUAACUUGAGUCUGGGCCAAGUGCAUCUGAAGGACACCACACUCUGCCCCAUUAAGUGUGUUUCUCCUGGAUCCCAGGUUGUCUCUUCCUUGGAGUUCUAGAAAACUGGUGUCAG
rnacentral:lncRNA from 10 species